rnacentral:lncRNA from 1 species
UGGGCAGAUGAGUCUCGAAUUUACGGUGUGAAGACACUAAGGUGAAGGUACAGAUGAUUGUUAGAAAAUAACUUACAUUGAGCGUGACCAACAUGAGAACCACAUGGAUGUCUACUCACUCGUCACUAGUCUUCUUGAUGCUACAGUGAUGUAAGUGAUCCUUUGACCUGUGGUGCCAUUGGCUAUUCACAAUGAGGCUACUAGAUUUGACUACACGUUCUCUUGGUUCCUAAUCAUUCAGAUCUUUGCUGUGUA